AAUUUCACAAAAUGUUCGUUAACAAAACAGCUUGGUUUUCUGAGAGUGUAAGGAGACACCUGUGUGAAUGGUGGGUGACAGAAGGUGGGAUUAUUACAGAUUGGAAAAAAGCAGAUUAUCUUUUUAGUGAAGAUGCUUCCCAUUCUGACACUUUGAGGUUACAUGAGAGCAGGGAUUAUGCAGAAGAUAGAAUCACCAUUUUUCAUUCUUCUUACCUGACCGCAUGUAAAGAAACCAGAGCAAAGAAUCCAGUUGGCAAUUGGUCACUUUAUUUUUCCUCCCAAAAUAAUUCAGAAUGGUAGGUCAGCAAUAUAUAUUUGUACCUUAAUGCUAAUGAUAAUUUUGCAGACUCUGGUAUAUACACUUCUGUAGCUUCCUUACCAUGAGACUCCUAAGAUAUUGUACUAGCUUUGUUGCAUUUAGUGUUUUUACUU